GAGGCUGCAGUCGAGGAUCCAUUCGCAAUGCGCGAAAGCGUGACGAUGCGACGCUGCGUGGAGGAUGACGGCCCUAGGGUUGUAAACUCCUGUCACGAGGGAGAAGCCGGCGACGGGUUAAUAACCCGCCGCCCCGAUAGUACCUCAAGAGGAAGCCACGGCUAACUCUGUGCCAGCAGCCGCGGGUAAUACAGAAGGUGGGCUAGCGUUGUUCGGAUUUACUGGGCGUAAAGCGUGCGUAGCCGGUCGAGUAAGUCGGGAUGUGAAAGCCCGGGGCCCAACCCCGGAAUUGCGUCCGAAACUGCCCGACUUGAGUGCAGGAUGGGAGAGGGGAAUUCAUGGAGUAGCGGUGAAAUGCGUUGAUAUCAUGAAGAACACCGGUGGCGAAGGCGCCUCUCUGGAAUGCAACUGACGCUGGAGCACGAAAGCAUGGGGAGCGAACAGGAUUAGAUACCCUGGUAGUCCAUGCCGUAAACGGUGCGCACUUGGUGUUGGAAGGGUCAGCCCUUUCAGUGCCAGAGCUAACGCGUUAAGUGCGCCGCCUGGGGAGUACGGCCGCAAGGCUAAAACUCAAAGAAAUUGACGGGGGCCCGCACAAGCGGAGGAGCAUGUGGCUUAAUUCGAUGCAACGCGAAGAACCUUACCCAGGCUUGACAUAUAACUGCAAGCCCUGUGAAGGCAGGAUUCCUUCGAGGGUGUUAUACAGGUGCUGCAUGGCUGUCGUCAGUUCGUGCCGUGAGGUGUUUGGUUAAGUCCAGCAACGAACGCAACCCCUGUGUCCAGUUGCCAUCAGGUAAUGCUGGGAACUCUGGACAGACUGCCUGUGCAAUCAGGAGGAAGGUGGGGACGACGUCAAGUCAGUAUGGCCCUUACGCCUGGGGCUGCACACGUGCUACAAUGGCCGGUACAGAAGGAUGCAACACCGCGAGGUUGAGCAAAUCCCCAAAGCCGGCCCCAGUUCGGAUUGAAGUCUGCAACUCGACUUCAUGAAGUUGGAUUCGCUAGUAACGGCGUAUCAGCUACGACGCCGUGAAUACGUUCCCGGGCCUUGUACACACCGCCCGUCACAUCAUGAAAGCCGUCUGCACCCGAAGUCGUUGACCCAACCCGCAAGGGAGGGAGGCGCCGAAGGUGUGGGUGGUGAUU
rnacentral:rRNA from 1 species